rnacentral:rRNA from 1 species
AGAGUUUGAUCAUGGCUCAGAUUGAACGCUGGCGGCAGGCUUAACACAUGCAAGUCGAGCGGGGACUUCGGUCCUAGCGGCGGACGGGUGAGUAAUACUUGGGAAUCUGCCUAGUAGCGGGGGACAACGUUUCGAAAGGAACGCUAAUACCGCAUACGCCCUACGGGGGAAAGGGGGGGAUCUUCGGACCUCUCGCUAUUAGAUGAGCCCAAGUCGGAUUAGCUAGUUGGUGGGGUAAAGGCCUACCAAGGCGACGAUCCGUAACUGGUCUGAGAGGAUGAUCAGUCACACUGGAACUGAGACACGGUCCAGACUCCUACGGGAGGCAGCAGUGGGGAAUAUUGGACAAUGGGGGAAACCCUGAUCCAGCCAUGCCGCGUGUGUGAAGAAGGCCUUCGGGUUGUAAAGCACUUUAAGCGAGGAGGAAGGGUUCUUAAUUAAUACUUGAGAGCAUUGACGUUACUCGCAGAAUAAGCACCGGCUAACUCUGUGCCAGCAGCCGCGGUAAUACAGAGGGUGCAAGCGUUAAUCGGAAUUACUGGGCGUAAAGCGCGCGUAGGCGGUUGUAUAAGUUGGAUGUGAAAUCCCCGGGCUUAACCUGGGCACUGCAUUCAAAACUGUACGGCUAGAGUGUAGGAGAGGAAGGUAGAAUUCCAGGUGUAGCGGUGAAAUGCGUAGAGAUCUGGAGGAAUACCGAUGGCGAAGGCAGCCUUCUGGCCUAACACUGGCGCUGAGGUGCGAAAGCAUGGGGAGCAAACAGGAUUAGAUACCCUGGUAGUCC